CAGAGGAGCAGUAACAAACACUCCCCCUGCUGGCAGGAGCACACACUGCAGCUUUACACACUUCCUGUUUCACUUCUCUGUCAGGCCAUGUGGGGGCGCUCAGCACCAGCUGAGGAGCCAGAAGGUUUGGCUCUCUAAGCAUACCCGUCAAGUCUCCUGUUUUUUUUUUCUGGGAAACUACAGUAUUUUACCUCCUUCUCCCACCGUGCUCCCAUAUCAGUAUUUCCCCCAGCCCCAAUCUAACAGCAGCACCAGAUGGCACCAUUUCCCGUAUUCUCAAGUCCAAAACUUGACAGGAGGAAACCAGUCUGUGCUCUGCCUGCAGGGGGAGCUCUGGUGCCGUCUGCAGAGGAAGUGGAUGUGUGUGACUAUUUCUGGAGAUGAAGGACAGAGAUGAAGCAGCUGAAUUAUCCCAGAGAGGAAACGGGCUGAAGCUGGCUGUCAGCUGACUGGGAGCUGCAGCAGAACCGCUGGGCUCAGCGCUGCAGGCUUCACUUUACUGUUCAGGACAAUCAGCAUCUGUGCUGGGGCUGAAAAUAACGGCGGUGCAGCUGGAGGCAGCAGCUGCUGCUGCUCAGACUGACGGCACUGGGCCUUUAUUCAAACAUUAUGAGAAACGUUAAAACAUUUCUAAACAAACGGGAAUCAGUCAUCCGAAAACGUUCAGGAGCAAAACCUUCCAGGAUUUAGGAAAACUUUAGUUCACAAACCCAAACAGACCCAACUCCUCAUGGUCCACCACCAGGGGGCAAACUUCCAAUAAUAUACCAAUACAGGAGCUAAUAUUUCAUUUAGCAUUUUUCUAACUUUGAAAACAUUUAGCGCACUGAGCUUCCCCUAGAUACAUUUUUCAGAAUAUAUCCUAAAGCAUCAUUUACUUUCAUGUCCAGCUAAAUAAAGUUUGACAGUUUAAAA